AGCAUUGUAUGUAGACCUGGGGAGGGAGUUUUCUUGGCGAUGCUGUAGUGCAGAAGAAUCGCUGGCUCUUUCUGUUGCACAGCUGACUUUGUGCCAUUCUGCUGGUGCUGUGUGGGGUUAAGGAUCAUAA
rnacentral:snoRNA from 14 species